rnacentral:rRNA from 1 species
UACGGAGGGAGCUAGCGUUGUUCGGAAUUACUGGGCGUAAAGCGCACGUAGGCGGCUUUGUAAGUUAGAGGUGAAAGCCCGGGGCUCAACCCCGGAAUUGCCUUUAAGACUGCAUCGCUUGAAUCCGGGAGAGGUGAGUGGAAUUCCGGGUGUAGAGGUGAAAUUCGUAGAUAUUCGGAAGAACACCAGUGGCGAAGGCGGCUCACUGGACCGGCAUUGACGCUGAGGUGCGAAAGCGUGGGGAGCAAACAGG